rnacentral:rRNA from 1 species
CGAAAUCAUCGGCAUCUCAUUGCGUGGCAGCCUGAUGCAGUCAUGCCGCAGUGAUUGCGAAGGAUGCUCGGUGUUACGCACUUUCAGCGGGGAGGACGCCGUAAGGUUAUUAUCUAGUCGAUUGGACGUUACCGCCAGAAGAAGCACCGGCUAACUUCGUGCCAGCAGCCGCGGUAUACGGAGGGUGCAAGCGUAUCGGAAUUACUGGGCGUAAGCGCACGCAGGCGGUCUGUCAAGUCGGAUGUGAAUCCCCGGGCUUCAACCUGGGAACUGCAUUCGAAACUGGCAGGCUAGAGUCUGUAGAGGGGGGUAGAAUUCCCAGGUGUAGCGGUGAAAUGCGUAGAGAUCUGGAGGAAUACCCGGUGGCGAAGGCGGCCCCCUGGACAAAGACUGACGCUCAGGUGCGAAAGCGUGGGGAGCAAACAGGAUUAGAUACCCUGGUAGUGCACGCCGUAAACGAUGUCGAUUUGGAGGUUGUGCCCUUGAGGCGUGGCUUCCGGAGCUAACGCGUUAAAUCGACCGCCUGGGGAGUACGGCCGCAAGGUUAAAACUCAAAUGAAUUGACGGGGGCCCGCACAAGCGGUGGAGCAUGUGGUUUAAUUCGAUGCAACGCGAAGAACCUUACCUGGUCUUGACAUCCACAGAACUUUCCAGAGAUGGAUUGGUGCCUUCGGGAACUGUGAGACAGGUGCUGCAUGGCUGUCGUCAGCUCGUGUUGUGAAAUGUUGGGUUAAGUCCCGCAACGAGCGCAACCCUUAUCCUUUGUUGCCAGCGGUUAGGCCGGGAACUCAAAGGAGACUGCCAGUGAUAAACUGGAGGAAGGUGGGGAUGACGUCAAGUCAUCAUGGCCCUUACGACCAGGGCUACACACGUGCUACAAUGGCAUAUACAAAGAGAAGCGACCUCGCGAGAGCAAGCGGACCUCAUAAAGUAUGUCGUAGUCCGGAUUGGAGUCUGCAACUCGACUCCAUGAAGUCGGAAUCGCUAGUAAUCGUAGAUCAGAAUGCUACGGUGAAUACGUUCCCGGGCCUUGUACACACCGCCCGUCACACCAUGGGAGUGGGUUGCAAAAGAAGUAGGUAGCUUAACCUUCGGGAGGGCGCUAAGUUAUCAGUCCAUCUGGAUGCAC